AGAGUUUGAUCAUGGCUCAGAUUGAACGCUGGCGGUAUGCUUAAGACAUGCAAGUCGUGCGGUAGAAGGCUUCGGCCUUUGAGAGCGGCGGACGGGUGAGUAACACGUGGGAAUCUGCCUAUUAGUGGGGGACAGCCCAGCGAAAGCUGGAUUAAUACCGCAUACGCCCUACGGGGGAAAGCAGCAAUGCGCUAAUAGAUGAGCCCGCGUAAGAUUAGCUAGUUGGUAAGGUAAAGGCUUACCAAGGCGACGAUCUUUAGCUGGUCUGAGAGGAUGGCCAGCCACAUCGGGACUGAGACACGGCCCGGACUCCUACGGGAGGCAGCAGUCGGGAAUAUUGGACAAUGGGCGCAAGCCUGAUCCAGCAAUACCGCGUGUGUGAAGAAGGCCUGCGGGUUGUAAAGCACUUUCAGUUGGGAAGAUAAUGACGUUACCAACAGAAGAAGCACCGGCUAACUCCGUGCCAGCAGCCGCGGUAAUACGGAGGGUGCAAGCGUUAAUCGGAAUUACUGGGCGUAAAGCGUGCGUAGGCGGCCUGUUAAGUCAGAUGUGAAAGCCCCGGGCUUAACCUGGGAACUGCAUCUGAUACUGGGAGGCUAGAAUGUGGGAGAGGAAGAUGGAAUUAGUUGUGUAGGGGUAAAAUCCGUAGAGAUAACUAGGAAUACCAAAAGCGAAGGCAAUCUUCUGGAACACUACUGACGCUGAGGCGCGAAAGCGUGGGGAGCAAACAGGAUUAGAUACCCUGGUAGUCCACGCCCUAAACGAUGAAUGUUAGUCGUCGGACAGCUUGUCUGUUCGGUGAUGCAGCUAACGCAUUAAACAUUCCGCCUGGGGAGUACGGUCGCAAGAUUAAAACUCAAAGGAAUAGACGGGGACCCGCACAAGUGGUGGAGCAUGUGGUUUAAUUCGAAGAUACGCGAAGAACCUUACCUAGCCUUGACAUAUAUUAGAACUCCGCAGAGAUGCAGAGGUGCCUUCGGGAGCUUUUAUACAGGUGCUGCACGGCUGUCGUCAGCUCGUGUCGUGAGAUGUUGGGUUAAGUCCCGCAACGAGCGCAACCCUCGUCACUAGUUACUAACGGUUCGGCCGAGGACUCUAGUGAGACUGCCUUCGUAAGGAGGAGGAAGGUGAGGACGACGUCAAGUCAUCAUGGCCCUUACGGCUAGGGCAACACACGUGCUACAAUGGCCAGGACAAUGAGACGCAAUACCGCGAGGUGGAGCAAAUCUAUAAACCUGGUCUCAGUUCGGAUUGUAGUCUGCAACUCGACUACAUGAAGCUGGAAUCACUAGUAAUCGUAGAUCAGCUAUGCUACGGUGAAUACGUUCCCGGGUCUUGUACUCACCGCCCGUCACACCAUGGGAGUUGAUUUCACCCGAAGCGGGGAAGCUAAACUGGCUACCCUCCACGGUGGAAUUAGCGACUGGGGUGAAGUCGUAACAAGGUAACCAAGGGCGAA
rnacentral:rRNA from 1 species